rnacentral:lncRNA from 1 species
UUAUGACGACCGAUGGAAAUAAGAAAAAAGGGGUGAUGAGGUUUGGGUAGUUGAUAAAUAGAAGAUGAAGUGCAAUUGAGGUUUACGAAAAAAUUUAGGUUUAGGCGGUUUAUGAAAAUAAUUUAUUGAUUCGAGCCAUUAAUAUUUUCUAUUUUUAUUUUAUUUUUUUCUGCAAUUUCUAUUUUAUGAAAAUAGAAGAUGACUUAGUAGAAAAAGUAGUGUUGAAUGAAGAACUUGAAACAUUGAAGAGAUUCUAACCAUUAAAGAACGUGAGAUGGAUGAUUAGUUACAUGAUGCUCGAAAAUAA